CCCGCAACGAGCGCCACCCCUGUCUCAUGUUGCCAGCACAUAAUGGUGGGGACUCGUGAGAGACUGCCGGGGUCAACUCGGAGGAAGGUGGGGAUGACGUCAAAUCAUCAUGCCCCUUAUGUCUAGGGCUUCACACAUGCUACAAUGGCUAGUACAGAGGGCUGCGAUACCGCGAGGUGGAGCGAAUCCCUUAAAGCUGGUCUCAGUUCGGAUUGGGGUCUGCAACUCGACCCCAUGAAGUCGGAGUCGCUAGUAAUCGCAGAUCAGCAACGCUGCGGUGAAUACGUUCGCGGGCUUUGUACACACCGCCUGA
rnacentral:rRNA from 1 species